rnacentral:rRNA from 1 species
AAUGCCAGUAUCCGAGAACAAUAUCCAGCCUUAUACAACAUUGCUCGUGAUAAAAAUAAUACUAUUGCGCAGGUGCUCAGUUCAUCCCCGCCGAAUAUUUUGUUCAGGCAGGAUUUGAUUGGCCCCUGACUUCUGUCAUGGCAUAAAAUUUUAUCCAGACUGGAUUCGACUAACCUGACACAAGGCCGGGAUGAGUUUUGUUGGAACCUUACUGAAGUAAAUAUGCCCUAG